ACGGCGAACGGGUGAGUAACACGUGGGUAACCACCCUUGGUACCGGGAUAGCCCGAGGAAACUCGGAUUAAUACCGGAUGGCCCAACAGCUUCUCGAAGCGGUUGGAAAAGGUAGCUUCGGCCUCCGACCAAGGACGGGCCCGCGGCGGAUUAGCUUGUUGGUGAGGUAAUGGCUCACCAAGGCUUCGAUCCGUAGCUGGUCUGAGAGGACGAUCAGCCACACUGGGACUGAGACACGGCCCAG
rnacentral:rRNA from 1 species